rnacentral:lncRNA from 1 species
GUAGUACCGUUUUGGAUGCCACCGGAUUUCUUAUCGCCAUGGAAAGCAUCGACAUUGAGGCGAAUGUUGUUAAUCAUUCUUAUAGCUCUGUACCCAUCACGGACUUCCUUGCUCUCGCUCCAUAGCACUGACUCAUCAAGAUGAUCUGGUUUGUAAGGCACCAGAUGGACCUGCAGAGAAAAACCCUUCAGCAAAACUUCAAGGUUGAUCCCAAUAUUGUAACAAUUGUAUAAUGUUACCAUAACGAUAUGCCACUGAAUCGGCAGAACAACAGAUACAACAACAAACAAUUGACUCAAAUGAUGCCUAUGUGCAACUUCUUCUGUAUAUAACCUUUUAGUUAAAGCCUUUUAUUACAGGAUGAACUGAUGGUCAAAUAUGUAUUACAUUAAGGGAACAAUUAAAUUAACAAAACUGAAAGCCAUGGAGAAUUCUUACAGGAUGAGAAGCUCCAAUGGAAUGUUUAAUGGCUUGACCAGUGGCUUUAUUAACCAGAGAAAAGCUGGGGAAACCCACUUCAUCUUUCACACUUGUGCUGAACUUCUCAUCUUUGUACCAGUGCUAAAACAGCAACAAAAAUUAACAUCCAAAUCAUAAUUAAGAUCCAUGUUUGGCCUUAAUCUUGAGUUUUAACAGUCAAACGGGGUUUUUGGGGUUGUCAAUUUAUGUGUUUAGUAAAGUCAAAAGGCAUGGAACAAUCAAUCACGGGGGUGAAAAAGAAAAAUAUAAUAAACCAAGUUGAUAAUUUUAUAAAUUAAUCCAAAAAAAAUUAAAGAAAAUUGUAAACCUGUUGAUACCGUACCUGGAAUUCAUCAGAGGGAUCAGAUGGAGCAAGAACAACUUUACCGUCUCUGAUGGUGAGAUGAAAAUUAGGAUCAGCUUUGCAAUAGACUUUCACAGUAGGUUUCUUGUAGAAUUCAGGUGGCAAAUGGGGUCUAAAAGAAGGAUGGUCAUCAACCCUUCCUUGGCUACUUUCAUGGGCAACAUGUGAAACGGAUGCUGGUGGGGGAGAGUAGUUCGAUGGACUGUGUUCAGGCUGGUGGUGGACAUGAGUCACAUGGGGUGGCUGUUGGUACUGAUAUGACGGUGGUUGGUGUGGUGGGGGUGGUGGAAAUCCAGGUUGCUGAAAGUAAGAUGGUGGGGGUGGACCAUCAAAGCCAGGUUGGUGGAAGUAUGAUGAUGGAGGUGGCGGAGGAUAGGGUCCAACAAAGCCAGGUGGCUGCUGGUAGCUUGGUGGUGGAGGGUACGGCGGAGUAAAUUCAUGGUGGUGAAGGUGUGGGUGUGGGUGUGGGGGUGGGGGUCUUUCUUGGUUUUCUUCAUCAUCAUUUCUGUGGUGAUGAGUGUGAGAGCGGUUGUGACCGAAUGGGAACUCCAUUUGUUCGAUUCUGAUCU